AUGGUGACACCAACGCCUCCCGGCUGUGCCCAGCUGUGGCAACUGCCACACCCCACUGCCACCGGACGGCGCCCCCAUCCAGGAGUACACAAGUUGCCCGCCAAGCGAGAUCUUGCAAAUCUUCUCUAUCAUUGUCAUUGCAAAAGGACUUUCAUCAGUGGCUCGCUGACAAUCUCCCCCAAACCCUACAAGAGAUUCAACUUUUUCUUUCAUACGCUUCACUGGGUAGAUGGGAGAGCGCGCUGUGCCCUAUGUUCAACCCCAAAAACCUUGAUUCAAGGUUUGUAG
rnacentral:rRNA from 1 species